rnacentral:piRNA from 2 species
AGGGCUGUAGAGAUGGCUCAGUGGUUAA